UGUUGUCCAUUUGCGACACGGGUGUCUCCAACGGUCCAACCCCGCCGGCCGCCGCCGCCACACCGCGCAGCGCUGAUUUGGGCGCCUGCUCGCCGCCUCGAGCCGCCGCAGCAUCGUCCUGUCCAUCGCCUUCAGCCGCGAUACCUCCUCCGGUACUCCCGCCGUCCUCCUCUUUCUACCAUGCCUCGAACCGCCACACACCCGCCGUCGCGGCGAGCUCCAGCCGUCUCCGGGAUGCCCUCAAGAAGACCUCCUCCUCCCGCUGCGCCCGCGAAGCGCGGAAUCGAGGAUUUGGUGAAGCGAGGGUGUUGCUGAACGGGCCCCUAGGUCUUGCCGCCGGCCGCCCUCGCCCUCGCCAUGGACGGUCAUGGAGAUCCCCACCACAGGCGUCACCCUCAAACUCCUGCCCCUACCGACUCUCGAUACCCCCAGUUUGAGGAGCAAGGUACUCCCCGCAGUCAUGAACCGCCGACGAAAUUGACAGCGGAGAAGGAAGCGAGGAGGCAAGCUAAGAUGCGAGGAGGCCGUAGAUCUGGAGCUGGAGCAGGGAGCCAGCCAGCUACAGACGGAGGACCUCCCUGAAACCACACUAGGUUCCCCCGUCGGCCACACCAUGGGAAGCCAUGGCCACCCUGAAACUCCUCGUGACAUUCAACACAGCGAGGUGCAAGCUCACGAUCAGUGGCAAAGCGGGAACCUUAAUCAAGGGGGGCCAAAAGGGAUCACAUACAAGAUAUAAAGACGAAGAUUCGAGAAACCGGGGGAUUAGAAGAGGUAUUAGGAUUAGGAGGAUGGAAAAUUUUGCCUCAAAGGGCGGUCCAGUGCCCGAGUUUGUCACGCCCAAGCUCCGCCGCUGCUCCUGACGAGUCUCGUAGGGAAGACUCUUCGACAGAUACUGCUGUCUUGCCCGCAGCCACGAGAGGACGUAUCCGCCAGAGCCUUCUCUAUUCAGCUCGCCCCAGGCGAUCCAGGAGACCUACAUCAGAUAAGCUACCGGUUGAGGAGCAUGCGGGUGAGGUAAGCAGCAGGGAGUUUGAAGCCCUGACACUUGAUCAAUCACGCCCUACCCCUGAGACAACUCACAGGCAAGCUGGAACUGCAACCCAUGUUCGGCAAAGUGUUCUAUAUUCAGGCCGCCUCAGGCGGUCCCGUGACAGACGAGAACAAGAACCAUCACCGAAUGAGCUAAUGGUUGAGAAGAAUGCUAGCAAGGUGAGCAGCGGUGGGGGACCUACAGUUACAGAUCUACCUGAAUUAACUGAUAGGGUUGAGAAGAAUGCUGGCAAGGUGAGCGACAUUGAGGGUCCUGCAGUUAAGGCUCCACCGGUUAAGGAGGAUGCCAUUGAGAUGCGCAGCAGGGAGUUUAAAGCACCGACACCUGCUCAGUCACUUCCUACAUGUAACCCAACCCAAAGGUCCAGAAAACGUGAUUAUUAUGCUGCGGACAGUAAGGGUCGCUCUGAAAUUUUUGAGGAGAUGCUCAAAGGUGUAUCAGAGCCUUGGGCACAAACAUGUUGUGAUAUGCGGAAGUACUUGGAAGAACAUACAUACACUUGUAUGGUGGAGGCUAUGAUUGCCGCCGAACAUGGCUUUAGCAACCCGGCCCAGCAUAAACUGGAUGCUGAAGCAUUUUUGGCAUCAAAAGGGGCAUUUAAAGCUCCUGAAGCCCCCGAGUCCUUUGCCUUUACAAGAGAGAAUAUAGCGCAGGCUGAAGUGUCUACCGAAGAAAUCAUUGAGAAUGGUAAAAAGUGGAUGGGUGAGGAAGUCAUGUUGGCUUUUAAGAAGUACUCCCUCCGUAAACUAAUAUAAGAUCAUUUAGAACACUACUUUAUAGUAAUCUAAAUGCUCUUAUAUUAGUUUACAGAGGGAGUACAAGGAAGGAAAGAGCCAGUUCAAGGACGUGGUGGAUUAUGGCCUAGAUGAGCUUCAAUAUCAGUGCUAUAACCACUCCUUCCACCACUUCAACUUCACCGUUAAGAUGAAGAAGU